rnacentral:rRNA from 1 species
UGCAUGCUUUUACAGUAUGAAAAUUGGUGAUUUAUAAUAACUUAGCAAAUCGCAAAGUGAAAACAGGCGAUAAAUCAUUCAAGUUUCUGACCUAUCAGCUUUCGACGGUAUGGUAUUGGCUUACCGUGGCAGUGACGGUUAACGGGGGAUUAGGGUUCGAUUCCGGAGAGGGAGCCUGAGAAACGGCUACCACAUCUAAGGAAGGCAGCAGGCGCGCAAAUUACCCAAUUCUAACAGUUUGAGAGAGGUAGUAACAAGAAAUAACAAUACAAGGCAGUUAAAAUGCUUUGUAAUUGGAAUGAUAGAAAUUUAAACCCUUUUUAAAGUAUCAAUUGGAGGGCAAGUCUGGUGCCAGCAGCCGCGGUAAUUCCAGCUCCAAUAGCGUAUAUUAAAAUUGUUGCAGUUAAAAAGCUCGUAGUUGAAGUUCUGCUAAAAGUAACCGGUCUGCUUUGAAUAAAAGUGGUAUCUUGGUAUGUAUUUAGCAAUGAUGUCCUUUGAAGUGUUUUUUACUUUAUUGUAAUAAAGCAUAUUCAGGACUUUUACUUUGAGAAAAUUAGAGUGUUUCUAGCAGGCCAACGCUUUGAAUACUGCAGCAUGGAAUAAUAAG